GGCGCUAUAGUGUAGUGGUUAUCACUCGAGAUUCUGAACAUCAGCAUUCUCGGAACCCAGGUUCGAGCCCUGGUAGUGCCU